rnacentral:pre_miRNA from 1 species
CAUGUGUCGGUGGGGUCCCUCGGCCUGGCCUGUGGCCUUUCACAAUCUGGGACCCCUCAGGGGAUGUCAGAGAGCUGAUUUUAGCCGAUCCCUGCAGGCCAGGCAGAGGGACCCCACUGGUGCAUG